UACAGAGACUGCAAGCGUUAUUCGGAUUCACUGGGCGUAAAGGGUGCGCAGGCGGCCGAGUGUGUUAGAUGUGAAAUCCCGGGGCUCAACCCCGGAACUGCGUCUAAAACUACUUGGCUAGAGUAUUGGAGAGGGUAUCGGAAUUCACGGUGUAGCAGUGAAAUGCGUAGAUAUCGUGAGGGACACCAGAGGCGAAGGCGGAUACCUGGACAAUUACUGACGCUCAGGAACGAAAGCGUGGGGAGCAAAAGGG
rnacentral:rRNA from 1 species